CCUACGGGUGGCAGCAGUAGGGAAUAUUGCUCAAUGGUGGAAACCCUGAAGCAGCAACGCCGCGUGGAGGAUGAAGGUUUUCGGAUUGGAAACUCCUUUUGUUAGAGACGAUAAUGACGGUAUCUAACGAAUAAGCACCGGCUAACUCCGUGCCAGCAGCCGCGGUAAUACGGAGGGUGCAAGCGUUACUCGGAAUCACUGGGCGUAAAGAGCGCGUAGGCGGGAUAGCAAGUCAGAUGUGAAAUCCUAUGGCUUAACCAUAGAACUGCAUUUGAAACUGUUAGUCUAGAGGAUGGGAGAGGUAUGUGGAAUGCUUGGUGUAGGGGUAAAAUGCGGAGAGAUCAAGAGGAAUACGCAGUGCGAAGGCGACCUGCGAGAACAUAACUGACGCUGAUGCGCGAAAGCGUGGGGAGCAAACAGGAUUAGAUACCCGAGUAGUC
rnacentral:rRNA from 1 species